rnacentral:rRNA from 1 species
CUGUCGUCAGCUCGUGUCGUGAGAUGUUGGGUUAAGUCCCGCAACGAGCGCAACCCUCAUCCUUAGUUACCAUCAGGUAAUGCUGGGUACUUUAAGGAAACUGCCAGUGAUAAACUGGAGGAAGGUGGGGAUGGUGUCAAGUCAUCAUGGCCUUUAUGGAGUGGGCUACACACGUGCUACAAUGGUGUCUACAAUGGGCUGCAAAGUGCCCAGGCCUAACCUAACCCUUAAAAGACAUCUCAGUUCGGAUUGUACUCUGCAACUCGAGUGCAUGAAGUUGGAAUCGCUAGUAAUCGUGGAUCAGCAUGCCACGGUGAAUACGUUCUCGGGUCUUGUACACACUGCCCGUCAC